GUCGUCGGCCAAUAGGCGUCCGUGCACUGUCGGUCGGUCGGCGUCGGCGAGAGACUGUGCCCCAAAAGCGCAGCCGCAGCCGCCGGCGUCGGUCGCACUCUCUGGACGGUGUGCAGAAUGCUUCCCUUUGGUCGGCAUCGACAGGUCGGGGCUUCGUUGUCCGGUCUUAUUUUGCUGGCGGCAAUUCGCAGAGCCGUGUCGGGCGCGCGCUCGUCUUUGCGGACGAGUGUCGCGUGCUCCGUGGAACGUGCGCCGAUGAUAACUCGUCGGCGGCCACGGCCGGCCUGGUCUGCGAUGCGAUGCCGCUCGAUGGCGAACGACUGGGCGACGGCCGGCGCAAAUCGAAGAGCAAUCUUCGGCUCGGCCUUUGCGUUGUUAUGUGCGGCCCGUCUUGAAACACGGACCAAGGAGUCUAACAUGUGAGCGAGCGAUUGAGAUUGUCGAAUCUCAGACGCGCAAUGAAAGUGAAGUGUCGUCUGACGGCACGAGCGGAGAUCCGCCGCCACUCGUGGCGGCGGCGCACCCGCGGGCCGCGCCAUCGGUUGGCUUGCUCUGCUUGCGGAGCACUGCUGAGGCGCGGACCUAGAGCCCACACGUUGGGACCCGAAAGAUGGUGAACUAUGCCCGGCCAGGAUGAAGCCAGAGGAAACUCUGGUGGAGGUCCGCCGCGAUUCUGACGUGCAAAUCGAUCGUCUGAGCUGGGUAUA
rnacentral:rRNA from 1 species